UACGAAGGGGGCUAGCGUUGCUCGGAAUCACUGGGCGUAAAGGGCGCGUAGGCGGCCAUUCAAGUCGGAGGUGAAAGCCCAGGGCUCAACCCUGGAAUUGCCUUCGAUACUGUCUGGCUAGAGACCGGAAGAGGUAAGUGGAACUGCGAGUGUAGAGGUGAAAUUCGUAGAUAUUCGCAAAGAACACCAGUGGCGAAGGCGGCUCACUGGCCCGAUACUGACGCUGAGGCACGAAAGCGUGGGGAGCAAACAGG
rnacentral:rRNA from 1 species